rnacentral:rRNA from 1 species
UGCAGUCGAACGCGUUGGCCCAAUUGAUUGAUGGUGCUUGCACCUGAUUGAUUUUGGUCGCCAACGAGUGGCGGACGGGUGAGUAACACGUAGGUAACCUGCCCAGAAGCGGGGGACAACAUUUGGAAACAGAUGCUAAUACCGCAUAACAGCGUUGUUCGCAUGAACAACGCUUAAAAGAUGGCUUCUCGCUAUCACUUCUGGAUGGACCUGCGGUGCAUUAGCUUGUUGGUGGGGUAACGGCCUACCAAGGCGAUGAUGCAUAGCCGAGUUGAGAGACUGAUCGGCCACAAUGGGACUGAGACACGGCCCAUACUCCUACGGGAGGCAGCAGUAGGGAAUCUUCCACAAUGGGCGCAAGCCUGAUGGAGCAACACCGCGUGAGUGAAGAAGGGUUUCGGCUCGUAAAGCUCUGUUGUUAAAGAAGAACACGUAUGAGAGUAACUGUUCAUACGUUGACGGUAUUUAACCAGAAAGUCACGGCUAACUACGUGCCAGCAGCCGCGGUAAUACGUAGGUGGCAAGCGUUAUCCGGAUUUAUUGGGCGUAAAGAGAGUGCAGGCGGUUUUCUAAGUCUGAUGUGAAAGCCUUCGGCUUAACCGGAGAAGUGCAUCGGAAACUGGAUAACUUGAGUGCAGAAGAGGGUAGUGGAACUCCAUGUGUAGCGGUGGAAUGCGUAGAUAUAUGGAAGAACACCAGUGGCGAAGGCGGCUACCUGGUCUGCAACUGACGCUGAGACUCGAAAGCAUGGGUAGCGAACAGGAUUAGAUACCCUGGUAGUCCAUGCCGUAAACGAUGAGUGCUAGGUGUUGGAGGGUUUCCGCCCUUCAGUGCCGGAGCUAACGCAUUAAGCACUCCGCCUGGGGAGUACGACCGCAAGGUUGAAACUCAAAGGAAUUGACGGGGGCCCGCACAAGCGGUGGAGCAUGUGGUUUAAUUCGAAGCUACGCGAAGAACCUUACCAGGUCUUGACAUCUUGCGCCAACCCUAGAGAUAGGGCGUUUCCUUCGGGAACGCAAUGACAGGUGGUGCAUGGUCGUCGUCAGCUCGUGUCGUGAGAUGUUGGGUUAAGUCCCGCAACGAGCGCAACCCUUGUUACUAGUUGCCAGCAUUAAGUUGGGCACUCUAGUGAGACUGCCGGUGACAAACCGGAGGAAGGUGGGGACGACGUCAGAUCAUCAUGCCCCUUAUGACCUGGGCUACACACGUGCUACAAUGGACGGUACAACGAGUCGCGAACUCGCGAGGGCAAGCAAAUCUCUUAAAACCGUUCUCAGUUCGGACUGCAGGCUGCAACUCGCCUGCACGAAGUCGGAAUCGCUAGUAAUCGCGGAUCAGCAUGCCGCGGUGAAUACGUUCCCGGGCCUUGUACACACCGCCCGUCACACCAUGAGAGUUUGUAACAUCCAAAGUCGGUGGGGUAACCUUUUAGGAGCCAGCCGCCUAAU